rnacentral:rRNA from 1 species
GGACGAACGCUGGCGGCGUGCCUAACACAUGCAAGUCGAACGGACGAGGGGAGCUUGCUCCCCAAGUAGUGGCGGACGGGUGAGUAACACGUGAGCAACCUGCCCUUCGAGGGGGACAACAGCCGGAAACGGCUGCUAAUACCGCAUGACAUAUCCUUGGGGCAUCUCGGGGAUAUCAAAGAUUUAUCGCCGAAGGAUGGGCUCGCGUCUGAUUAGCUGGUUGGUGAGGUAACGGCUCACCAAGGCGACGAUCAGUAGCCGGACUGAGAGGUUGAACGGCCACAUUGGGACUGAGAUACGGCCCAGACUCCUACGGGAGGCAGCAGUGGGGAAUAUUGGGCAAUGGGGGGCCAACCCUGACCCAGCAACGCCGCGUGAAGGAAGAAGGCUUUCGGGUUGUAAACUUCUUUGACGAGGGACGAUAAUGACGGUACCUCGAAAACAAGCCACGGCUAACUACGUGCCAGCCGCAGC